rnacentral:rRNA from 1 species
UUUAAAGUCUAAUCUGCCCUAUGAGGAGUUAAAUGGCCGCGGUAUUUUGACCGUGCAAAGGUAGCAUAAUAAUUAGUUUUUUAAUUGGAAGCUGGAAUGAAUGAUUGGACGAGAAAAUAGCUGUCUCAGUUUAAUUUUUUUAGAAUUUUAUUUUUAAGUAAAAAAGCUUAAAUUUAUUUAAAAGACGAGAAGACCCCAUAGAGUUUUAUAUUUAUUUAAAUAUUAGUUUUAUAGAAAUGUUAUAUUAUUAUUUGUAUAAUUAUUUUGUUGGGGUGAUAGAAAAAUUUGAAUAACUUUUUUUUUAUUUUAACAUUAAUUAAUGAUUUUUUGAUCCAUUAUUUAUGAUUAUAAGAUUAAAUUACCUUGGGGAUAACAGCGUAAUUUUUUUUUAGAGUUCUAAUCGAAAGAAAAGAUUGCGACCUCGAUGUUGGAUUAAAAUUAACUUUUGGUGUAGGGGCUAAAUGGUUGGGUCUGUUCGACCUUUAAAAUUUUACA